rnacentral:rRNA from 1 species
GAUGAACGCUGGCGGCGUGCUUAACACAUGCAAGUCGAACGAUGAAGCCGGAGCUUGCUCUGGUGAAUUAGUGGCGAACGGGUGAGUAACACGUGAGUAACCUGCCCUUGACUCUGGGAUAACUGCGGGAAACUGUAGCUAAUACCAGAUACGACCCUCGGAGGCAUCUCCUGGGGGUGGAAAGAAUUUCGGUCAAGGAUGGACUCGCGGCCGAUCAGCUAGUUGGUGAGGUAAAGGCUCACCAAGGCGACGACGGGUAGCCGGCCUGAGAGGGUGACCGGCCACACUGGGACUGAGACACGGCCCAGACUCCUACGGGAGGCAGCAGUGGGGAAUAUUGCACAAUGGGCGCAAGCCUGAUGCAGCAACGCCGCGUGAGGGAUGACGGCCUUCGGGUUGUAAACCUCUUUUAGCAGGGAAGAAGCGAAAGUGACGGUACCUGCAGAAAAAGCACCGGCUAACUACGUGCCAGCCGCCGCCGUAA